GUAUUGAGGGUGUGGGCUGGUUCACACUCGCUGUGUACAGGGUGGGCAAGACAGCCCUUCUGUAUCCACAUGAAGUUCAUUAUGGCCACAUAACUUCCUUGGGUCAGCAGAAGCUGUCACGGGGGGACACCUGUGCACCUGCAUCUCUCUCCUCUGCUUCGUGAAGGAGGCGGCUUAGGGAAGAUUGCAGAACUUUCAGGAGCCUCAAUCAACAGCUCCCAGGGCUUCAAGUCAACCAGGCAGUAGCGGCCUCCCCUAACCUCCUGAGUCUGGCCACCGCGGAGACCAGAUUCAACCUGCCACUCAGCUCACAAGCUCACUGGCCCAGACCUUUGGAAGUGCCUGCAACACCAGGAGGCCUCAGGGACACUGGGCUCAGGUGGGUAUUGGGUGUCUUCUCUGAGAACCCCUGAGAUUCCACCAAGGCACUUCACUGUGGCUGGGCUCUGCACCCAGAGGAGGAGACUGGGUCACUGAGAAGGCAGGCCAGGUGCAGAGUGAUGGAAGCAG
ensembl:lncRNA